CACUUCAGAGCAGGCGAACUUUGAAGGUGUCUUCAUUGAAAAAGAUGAGGAAGUUGCUGAGUUUAUGAAAUACAUCCAGAGACACACAAAUGAUCGUCCCAGGACAUAUUACUUUCCUUUGCUCCGAUGUGUCCUGUAAAUAUUUCCCAUAUUUAAUCAAGGUGGCUCAGCUGAGGAACCUCUUGUCAAUGCGUCCAUUUCUCUCCGUCAUGCAUGCAAAGGCUCUCAUUUGGAAAUGCGAGGGCGAACAGACAUGCUGACCCUCCUGGCUUUGGGGUGGACCAAAAGGAAAGUGGAACAACUGGUUUGAGCCAGAGAUAUCUAAAGAUCAUAAGGAUCCUUAGAGAACAAAUGGAGAGCCUGAAUAUGACCAGAAAUGAGCUGGGUGUGGAUGACGACACACUGCAGCAAUGGGUGGCCGAUGUGCAGAAAUGGGCUGAAGAAACUGAUCAAACUGAUGGCAGCCUUGGAGCGUUGCAGGCACGACUAGAGGAGCUUGUCGUCAUCAUCAGAGUGCGAACACAAAGUCUUUACAGACAAAAUGAUAGCAACAAGAGGCGACACAGAAUUCGCAAGGUCAUCUUAGAUGAGAAGAAACGCUUGGCGGCUGCUGUUGACGACUACAACAAGCUUGCUGAACCAACAAAGCAAAUCGUAUCCAGUGAUGCCCUCAUCCAGACCGACAUUUGGCUCUGGCAGAGCACAAGUGAACCUGCUGCUGAACUCCAGACAAAGAGAGAGGUCUUUGAGAAGGUGAUGGCUGUGAGGCGCCUGAGAGAGGACGAGAUGAUCCUUUGCAGGGAGAUGCGGCAUCACUGGACAGUGUUGCAAAUGCGAUCUGUGGUGUUGGGGACAAUCUCCUCAGACUCCUCCUUUGUUGGCAUGUCGGAGGAUGCACAGAAGGGACUCCGUAGCCUGGUUUAAAAAAACAAAGUGAACUGAAAGCUGAAAUGCUCAAAAUAAAGGACACGUACAAGAGAAUCCUCAGCCACCAACCACUCCUGGAAAUGGACUCGGAGGAGGAGGAGGACAUUCCAGACGAUGCCACUGAGAGUGAUUUGAGCACUUCUGAUGAAGACUGAUUGUGUCAUCAUUGAUGUUAUUUUUGGUAAAAUAAAAAGUUAAUCACAUCUCUGUUUAAUGUGAUUUUUCAACAGACAUUUUACAUUUUGAGAAGAAAAAUGGAAUUUCCUUGGUGCAGUUGUUUACCCAUAAUCAUGCUUUCCCAUGUAAUUUAAUGACUAGUGUAAAUGUUCAGAUAGACUAACAUAAUUUAAUUCAUGGAAUGUUUUCUGUGCUGCUCAAAUUACCACAGAAUUUAAAAGCACCAGGCAGCAAACUCACAAGGAAAUUUUUGUUCAGUGUUUUGUCGAAGAAAUCAACAAGUACAAUUGAGAUGUUUGCUGUAGUGGUGUGUUUGUUAAGAAGCAUGCCAGCACACUGGUGAACUGACAGUCCCAGAAUGCACCCGAGCCACUGACUCGCACAAGAGCAAAUGAAACUGCUUAUCUAGGAAGACAACCGUCAUCAAAGAAUAAGUAAAAGAAUAGGAAACUAACGGUAAGGGAAGGUACUGUGCAGUAGGAAAGAAAGGCCAGAGCCGUGCAAAAUGACCUCCAGCAGGCCACAAAUGUGCUCGUCUGCUCAAACGGUCAGGAACGGACUCCAUGAGAGCCCGACAUCCACAGGUGAGGGUUUUGCUUGCAGCCCAACACCGUGCAGGAUGUUUGGCAUUUGCCAGAGAACACAAA
ensembl:lncRNA